CUUCGUGUCAGAAACCAGAGUGAAGCUUGUGCUGACCCGGCAGGACAGAAGGAGAAGCCUGAGGGAACAGGAAAUAGAGUAAUUCAGCGCUCAGUGCUCUUUGACCUUCACCCAGUGUACAACAAUGUGAUUUACAAAUCGUAAUGAAGUUUCCAGGACCAGAAGUGUUAAUCAGUAUGCAGUUGAGGGUCCAUAAAAUUCACUUAACUAGAAUGCAAGAUCAGAUGAGAGCUCCGAGGCUGAGCCUUGACUUGUUGACUGCAGCGAAGUGGCUUUGUCAGUCACUGCUACCGAGUCCUGAACUGUCAGGAGAGGGCGCAGCCUUCCCAAAAGUCUCCGAUGGAAAAGGUGCUGUGGUGUGUGAGGAUGAUUCAGAAAGGUUCUCCCAAAACCCUGCGUGGUCUGGAGGCUCAGACUCUCCUCCUGGUCUGGGAAUUGAGAACAGCGGAAAGAACCUGCUAUGUUCGACAUCUAUAUCCUUCAUAAAAUUUAGUCAUUUGUAAUUCUCAGAAAAAUUGGGUAUGUAGCAUUUAUAGAGAAGAAAUUUAGGUUUUAUUUCUCAUUUUGAAGACUACAACAUGGCUCCUGAAUGUAAAUUUUAGUUUUAUAUAAGCUGUACCAUAUAUUGUGUAGUGUGAUGCAGAAAAUCUUCUGAAAGAUGUUGUACUGCUGGUAGUGGAUAGUGCAGUUCUUUUUCUUUUUUUCUUUUUAAUUUCAAAAAUACACACAUUGCAACAUGGCUCCUGGCAGUGCAAGCUUUUCUGGCUUCCCCACUGAGUGAGGAAGAAACUUGCAAUAAUCAAAGGCUAGAUGAGUCUCCAAAAUUCAGGCAGUGUGCUUUCCUCUCUGCUGUGUCUGGCAAUGCUGCUGAUCAGAAACUAGAUAGUCAGUGUCCUGAGAAAUUACCAUCCUUGGUUUUCCUUUUUUUUUUUUUUUUUUAAUUCACAAUCAGAUCAGACAUUGAAUGAUUUUAUAUUAUCCAUAGAAUUAAUUUUAAAUGGUCUUUUUACCUACCAAAUAGUUCAAUUUCUUUAAUGUCAGAUGCAUUGAUUUCUGGUAUUGGCUCCGUCCUUGUCCAAGUGCUCUUCAAC
rnacentral:lncRNA from 1 species